CCUCUGACUUGUUUGUUAUUCGGAUAUUUAAAAUUUUUUUUGUAUAUUCAAGCUCUAUUUUUAAUUAGUAUCUAAUCCGGUCAUAAAGUACUUCAAUGUUGUAUUAAUUUGUUAACCCAGCUUGCAACCUCUUUAAGAAUAUGGGAGGUAUUUUAUGCAUGUUCCUGUACAUUGCCGCUUUAAUCCUGUAGAUUCCUUAAAAAAAGAAAAAACGUUAAAAAAAAACAGAAAGAUACCAAAGCAAAUAGAUAAACAAGCACAAGGAGCACUCGCAAUCCCAGACCCAAGCAGAGCCCGCAGCACGCGCAUGUUAUCCUUCGAGGCACCUGCUCCGGAUCCAGGUUCGGCUUUGACUCUGGCACCAGCUACAUGCUCUUUGGUAUGCAUGAAAUGUACGCGCCGCCAAAUUUGUUGUGCGGCGAGGCGAAUGCGCAAAAUGUUGCCAACUAUGUGUGCGUGUGUGUAUGUAUGUAUGUGUGUAGCUCUCAUACAAAGCUCUACACCCACUUGCACACACUCACGUAUACAUAUAUUUUCCAAUUCUUAUUGCAUAUAAAUUCGGACGUGGUGCGACUGUAAUCAACAUGGAAGACACUUAACUCCUUGCUUUUUUUACAUUUUUUCCUUUUUAAAUACUGGCUUUUCUCGUUCCUUCGACUGCACUUGGAUUGGCUCAUUAAUCUUGCUAAUGAUGCUGCCCAGCAAAUUGCAUUUCAAACAAUGAAUAAAACCGAAACAAAAAAUAAAAAAUACCAACAAAUACACAGUUUGAGCCCAGCACAAAAUUCAAAAUCAGUCAAGCAAAAGCCAAGACAGCGAGUAAUGAAAAUGAAAAUGAUAAGAAAAUUUCUGCAGCAAUGCCCAAGAAAAUUCCUGAGAGAAUAAAAGCGAGCAGAUAGAAUAUAAUUAAAAUACCUUCCAUCAUUAGUUUCGGAAAAUGGAAAAUGGUGUGCGUGACAUUUUCGGGGCGCUGCUGCUGCUGCAGCCAAGCACAAGACUGCGAUAAGUGAAAGGACACUGAAUGGAGAGACAGCAACAACAACAAUCAUAGCAAAAAAGAAGCAAGUACUAUCGCUGGGCGAGCAUCAAAAAAGUUAAAUUAAGGCAGCACCCAAAAAAAGGCAGAAUUUUCAUUAAAAUUAGAAACAAA